rnacentral:rRNA from 1 species
UACGUAGGGGGCAAGCGUUGUCCGGAUUUAUUGGGCGUAAAGAGCGUGUAGGCGGCCAGACAGGUCAGCUGUGAAAACUCGAGGCUCAACCUCGAGACGUCGGUUGAAACCAUCUGGCUAGAGUCCGGAAGAGGAGAAUGGAAUUCCCGGUGUAGCGGUGAAAUGCGCAGAUAUCGGGAAGAACACCCGUGGCGAAGGCGGUUCUCUGGGACGGUACUGACGCUGAGACGCGAAAGCGUGGGGAGCGAACAGG